rnacentral:rRNA from 1 species
GACGGAGGAGCCAAGCGUUGUCCGGAUUGACUGGGCGUAAAGCGCACGCAGGCGGUCGCACGCGUGGGGUGUGAAAACUGGCGGCUUAACUGCCAGAGGCCAUCCCAUACGGCGCAACUCGAGCCAUGCAGAGGUCCACGGAAUUGCCGGUGUAGUGGUGAAAUGCGUAGAGAUCGGCAGGAACACCCAGGGGGAAACCAGUGGACUGGGCAUGUGCUGACGCUCAGGUGCGAAAGCGUGGGGAGCGAACCGG